AUCCAGCUGACGAGUCCUAAAUAGGACGAAAUGCGCGUCCUGAAU
rnacentral:hammerhead_ribozyme from 1 species